UUCCAGACUCCUACGGGAGGCAGCAGUGGGGAAUAUUGCACAAUGGGGGAAACCCUGAUGCAGCGACGCCGCGUGAAGGAUGAAGUAUUUCGGUAUGUAAACUUCUAUCAGCAGGGAAGAAAAUGACGGUACCUGACUAAGAAGCCCCGGCUAACUACGUGCCAGCAGCCGCGGUAAUACGUAGGGGGCAAGCGUUAUCCGGAUUUACUGGGUGUAAAGGGAGCGUAGACGGUUAUGUAAGUCUGGAGUGAAAGCCCGGGGCCCAACCCCGGGACUGCUUUGGAAACUGUGUAACUGGAGUACAGGAGGGGCAGGCGGAAUUCCUGGUGUAGCGGUGAAAUGCGUAGAUAUCAGGAGGAACACCGGCGGCGAAGGCGGCCUGCUGGACUGAAACUGACGUUGAGGCUCGAAAGCGUGGGGGGCAAACAGGAUUAGAUACCCGAGUAAA
rnacentral:rRNA from 1 species